rnacentral:lncRNA from 1 species
UCCAUAUUCCCCACCGGGUUAUAUCCUCGUGGAUGUUGAUUGUUUUUGUUCCUUUCCAACACAUAUACUGGGAUGGUUUUCUCCAUUGAGUUAUAUCCUCACCGGGACAAGUCUUGAUUUGGUGUGCCUAUCUAGUUUGAUCCUAGAUCGGUCUCUUGAGAAUCUUUUCCUGUUUCCCCGUGGUAAAUGAAUAAUUGCUCAAUAAUUAGUAAUUAUUAUCCCCGGUGGAGUCUGUGUUUCUCUACCCUCAUACCGGUAGUUGUA